rnacentral:rRNA from 1 species
GAUGAACGCUGGCGGCGUGCCUAAUACAUGCAAGUCGAGCGGUAAGGCCCUUUCGGGGGUACACGAGCGGCGGACGGCUGAGUAACACGUAGGAACGUACCCCAAACUAAGGGAUAAGCACCGGAAACGGUGUCUAAUACCGCAUGUGAUCUUCGGAUUAAAGCUUUAUGCGCUUUGGGAGCGGCCUGCGUAAGAUUAGCUUGUUGGUGAGGUAAGAGCUCACCAAGGCGACGAUCUUUAGCUGGUCUGAGAGGAUGAUCAGCCGGACUGGGACUGAGACACGGCCCAGACUCCUACGGGAGGCAGCAGUAGGGAAAUUUGCGCAAUGGGGGAAACCCUGAAGCAGCAACGCCGCGUGCGGGAUGAAGGCCUUCGGGUUGUAAACCGCUUUUAUCAGGGACGAUGAUGACGGUACCUGAUGAAUAAGUCACGGCUAACUACGUGCCAGCCGCCGCCGUAA